UACGUAGGGUGCGAGCGUUGUCCGGACUUAUUGGGCGUAAAGCGCUCGUAGGCGGUCUGUCGCGUCGGUCGUGAAAACUUGGGGCUUAACCCUGAGCUUGCGGUCGAUACGGGCAUGACUGGAGUUCGGCAGGGGAGACUGGAAUUCCUGGUGUAGCGGUGAAAUGCGCAGAUAUCAGGAGGAACACCGGUGGCGAAGGCGGGUCUCUGGGCCGAUACUGACGCUGAGGAGCGAAAGCGUGGGGAGCGAACAGG
rnacentral:rRNA from 1 species